UGAUGUAAACAUAGCAAGAGGAUUUUAACAUAUAAAUUGAUCAAAUCAGUUUAUAUUUUUACAUUCAAAGGUGAAAAAAAAUGGGCGAAACUUUUAAAUUUAUUUACAUUAUGAUACUUUGUGUUUCUCUAUUUACCGUUGAAGUCGUUGGUCAAGUAAGGUGUAAAACAGACGAAGAUUGUGAUUGUGUAAAAGUUUUGACUCCUCCUGGAUUAACAUGUAUGUGCGAUGGUGGUGAAUGUGGAUUCUUUAGGGCAACUUGGGGGUGACGACGAUCACUAUCCCCAUUUUCCUUGAUAUCUAGAUGCUCUUAAUUUAUCAAAAAAUAAAUAAAAUGGAGAAUUAUUCUCAUAUUUAUGAUACUGUGUUAUUUAAAGUUUGUUGGAUUACAUUUUAUUUUUACGUUGGGUUGUAAGGCUCUGAUAUUGAGUCAUACAUUAAUGUCAUCUUAAAUAAUAUGGUCAUGAUUUAUUUUGUUGGAUCUUGAAAAGUUAUGUAUGUUAUUUUAUUACAAGAAUAAUUGUAAGGCUCUUUGAAAGCCAAUAUAUAUAUUUUUAUUUUAAAUUAUGAAAUUGAGUUGUUAUUUCUAGUGA